CUACGGGGUGCUGCAGUGGGGAAUAUUGGACAAUGGGGGAAACCCUGAUCCAGCAAUGCCGCGUGUGUGAAGAAGGCCUGCGGGUUGUAAAGCACUUUCGGUUGGGAGGACUGCUUCUAGCACUAAUAUUGUUGGAAGUUGACGUUACCUUCAGAAGAAGCACCGGCUAACUCCGUGCCAGCAGCCGCGGUAAUACGGAGGGUGCAAGCAUUAAUCGGAAGUACUGGGCGUAAAGCGCGCGUAGGCGGCUAGAUCAGUCGGGUGUGAAAGCCCCGGGCUUAACCUGGGAACUGCAUCCGAGACUGUCUAACUUGAGUACAGGAGAGGAGAGUGGAAUUCCACAUGUAGCGGUGAAAUGCGUAGAUAUGUGGAGGAACACCAAUGGCGAAGGCAGCUCUCUGGCCUGAUACUGACGCUGAGGUGCGAAAGCGUGGGGAGCAAACAGGAUUAGAUACCCCCGUAGUC
rnacentral:rRNA from 1 species